CUAUAAAAGUAAGUGGUAGGAUAAGGCAGUCUACAGUUUAAUUUCAUUUCUUCAUUAAACAUGUUCAAGGAGAUUCUUAUCAUUGGACUUUGCUUCACUUUUGUGGAAUCAACUCUAAAUCCAGCAAUUAAUCUUGGUUUGGAUAUACCAAUUUUACCGAAGUUAGCAAAAAAGAAACUUUUUCCUUUGUUGUUGAAAAAGUUAAUUAAGUCUAAUGCCGUUGGGUCCCCCUUUAACACAAAUCCAAAAUUUACAAAAAAGACUCUUCUAAAGAAAAAAGCAUUGAAGUUACCUCUGAUUCUUAAAGCUCUUCCAAGACCAAUUCUAGGAUUUCGUUUAAUAUAAGCAAUGCUAAAUUUAUAUAAUAAUACAAUUAGUCAUUUGUAUCAUUAAGCAUAAAUAAAUUUUUAUAUACAAAGUUAAAAA
rnacentral:lncRNA from 1 species